UCAGUUCGGAUUGAAGGCUGAAAUUCGCCUUCAUGAAGCCGGAAUCGCUAGUAAUGGCAGGUCAGCAUACUGCCGUGAAUACGUUCCCGGGCCUUGUACACACCGCCCGUCACACCAUGGGAGCCGGUAAUACCCGAAGUCAGUAGUCCAACCUCGUGAGGACGCUGCCGAAGGUAGGAUUGGCGACUGGGGUGAAGUCGUAACAAGGUAUC
rnacentral:rRNA from 1 species